AUUGAACGCUGGCGGCAGGCCUAACACAUGCAAGUCGAGCGAGCGGCGGACGGGUGAGUAAUGUCUGGGAAACUGCCUGAUGGAGGGGGAUAACUACUGGAAACGGUAGCUAAUACCGCAUACCAUCAGAUGUGCCCACAUUGGAUUAGCUAGUAGGUGGGGUAACGGCUCACCUAGGCGCCGAUACCUAGCUGGUCUGAGAGGAGGACCAGCCACACUGGAACUGAGACACGGUCCAGACUCCUACGGGAGGCAGCAGUGGGGAAGAGUGCACAAGGGGCGCAAGCCGGAUGCAGCCAUGCCGCGUGUGGGAAGAAGGCCGUCGGGUGGUAAAGCACUUUCAGCGGGGAGGCGUUAACCGCAGAAGAAGCACCGGCUAACUCCGUGCCAGCAGCCGCGGUAAUGC
rnacentral:rRNA from 1 species